UACGUAGGGUGCAAGCGUUGUCCGGAAUUAUUGGGCGUAAAGAGCUCGUAGGCGGUCUGUCGCGUCGGCUGUGAAAUCCCGAGGCCUCAACCCUCGGGGUCUGGCAGGUCGAUACGGGCAAACUAGAGUAUUGCAGGGGAGACUGGAAUUCCUGGUGUAGCGGUGAAAUGCGCAGAUAUCAAGGAGGAACACCGGUGGCGAAGGCGGGUCUCUGGGCCGUAAACUGACGCUGGAGGAAGCGAAAGCAUGGGGAGCGAACGG
rnacentral:rRNA from 1 species